CAAAAUGAAUCAAAACUUUCAACAACGGAUCUCUUGGUUCUGGCAUCGAUGAAGAACGCAGCGAAAUGCGAUAAGUAAUGUGAAUUGCAGAAUUCAGUGAA
rnacentral:rRNA from 2 species